rnacentral:misc_RNA from 1 species
AGCAGCCGCGGUAAUUCCAGCUCCAAUAGCGUAUAUUAAAGUUGUUGCAGUUAAAAGCUCGUAGUUGAAUUUCGGGGUUAGUAGGUUGGUCAUGCCUCUGGUAUGUACUGGUCUCACUGAUUCCUCCUUCCUGAUGAACCUUAAUGCCAUUAAUUUGGUGUUUUGGGGAAUUUGGACUAUUACUUUGAAAAAUUAGAGUGUUUAAAGCAAGCUAACGCUUGAAUACAUUAGCAUGGAAUAAUGAAAUAGGACGUUCGAUCCUAUUUUGUUGGUUUCUAGGAUUGACGUAAUGAUUAAUAGGGAUAGUUGGGGGCAUUAGUAUCCAAUUGUCAGAGGUGAAAUUCUUGGAUUUAUUGAAGACUAACUACUGCGAAAGCAUUUGCCAAGGAUGUUUUCAUUAAUCAAGAACGAAAGUUAGGGAUCGAAGACGAUCAGAUACCGUCGUAGUCUUAACCAUAAACUAUGCCGACUAGGGAUCGGAUGAUGUUUAAUUUUUUAAUGUACUUCAUUCGGCGCCUUA